UACGUAGGGACCAAGCGUUGUUCGGAUUUACUGGGCGUAAAGGGCGCGUAGGCGGCGCGGUAAGUCACUUGUGAAAUCUCUGAGCUUAACUCAGAACGGCCAAGUGAUACUGCAGUGCUAGAGUGUGGAAGGGGCAAUCGGAAUUCUUGGUGGUAGCGGUGAGAUGCGUAGAUAUCAAGAGGAACACCUGAGGUGAAGACGGGUUGCUGGGCCAACACUGACGUGAUGCGCGAAAGCCAGGGGAGCAAACGGG
rnacentral:rRNA from 1 species